rnacentral:rRNA from 1 species
AUACGUAGGUGACAAGCGUUAUCCGGAUUUACUGGGCGUAAAGGGCGUGUAGGCGGUCUUGCAAGUCAGAAGUGAAAUUCCUGAGCUCAACUCGGGCGCUGCUUCUGAAGCUGCAGGACUUGAGUGCUGGAGGGGAUAGCGGAAUUCCUAGUGGAGCGGUAAAAUGCGCAGAUAUUAGGAAGAACACCGGUGGCGAAGGCGGCUAUAUGGCUACUCACUGAAGCCGGGGCGCGAAAGCGUAGCGCGCGAACAGCAUUAGAUGCCCUGGUAGUCCACGCAGUAAACGAUGAAUGCUAUGUGUUUCGGGUAUCGACCCCUGCAGUGCCGGAGUAAACACAAUCAGCAUUCCGCCUGGGGAGUACGGCCGCAAGGUUGAACCUCAAAGGAAUUGACGGG